AGGAGAAACAAAGAACACAAAACAUUAGCGGUUUGUAGGAGCCUUCCCGGGACGUGUUCCCGACACCCUCCUGUUCUUCACGUGGCCCAGAAGUUCCGGAACGUGCUCCAUUCAGACACUUGCUUGACUUGGUGGCAGCGUUGGGAUCUGAAGCGAACUUCCUCCGGCCUCCGGGGCCAAGAAGACCCACAGGCAGGGCGCCCUGCCAGCGCGCUUCUGAGUUCAAGACAUGCCACCUUCCAGCCCACCUGCCCAUUUUAUGUCUGAACACGAUGGUGCCAGGACCUGUGAAUACCUACUGAAAUGGCAAAACGUUACCAAAAACCACCUAGAAGUACAACAGCCACU